CGCCGCGUGGGGGAUGACGGCCUUCGGGUUGUAAACCUCUUUCAGCAGGGACGAAGUUGACGUGUACCUGCAGAAGAAGCGCCGGCUAACUACGUGCCAGCAGCCGCGGUAAUACGUAGGGCGCAAGCGUUGUCCGGAAUUAUUGGGCGUAAAGAGCUCGUAGGUGGCUUGUCGCGUCGGAUGUGAAAGCCCGCAGCUUAACUGCGGGUCUGCAUUUGAUACGGGCAGGCUAGAGGUAGGUAGGGGAGAACGGAAUUCCUGGUGUAGCGGUGAAAUGCGCAGAUAUCAGGAGGAACACCGGUGGCGAAGGCGGUUCUCUGGGCCUUGCCUGACGCUGAGGAGCGAAAGCGUGGGGAGCGAACAGGAUUAGAUACCCUGGUAGUCCAAGGG
rnacentral:rRNA from 1 species